UUCCAAACAACAAACCAACACUUGUGUCUCUCUCUCUCCCUCUCCCUCUCCCUCUCCAUUGCUCCUCUCCCCUCCCUCUCUCCCCGCCCUCCACCAGCCGCGCCUCCGCCGCUCCUCCUAGCGGUCGCGGGCAACCAGACCACCGAUUCACCUAGAUUUGCCCUAUUUUCUCUCUCUAAAAUCUCUCUAUAGUCGUAUAUCUGUCUAUCCAUUAACGGCGAGACCGAUGUAUGUAUAUAUAUAUGUGUGUGUGUGUGUGUGGAUUUGUAUGUGAUUGUUAGGGUUUUGGAGAUGUAGGGAAGGUUGAAUGAUGGGGGAGAAAUUGCGGUGAAGAAGCUGUCGCAGAGCUUGAAUCAGGGGAAGAAUGAGUUCAAGAACGAGGCCAAGCUGUUGGCUCGCGUGUAGCACCGCAAUGUUGUCAAUUUGUUGGGGUAUUGUGCGCACGGUGCGGAGAAACUGCUUGUGUAUGAGUAUGUAGCUAAUGAGAGCUUGGACAAGCUUCUCUUCACCAACAGAUAAUUACUGGCAUGGUACAUAGAUCACCUUUUGUCGCUGUACAUAUAUAUGAUUUUUUGUCGUGGUACAGAUUACGAUGUUAAUUUGUACCAUGUCAAAUGGUCAUUUCAUAUGGUAGUAAAUGUAAUUUUUGUAUAUGGUGGGCUUUGCUUUUUGUAUGAUUUUAUAUUUUGUAUGAAAUUAUUAUUUUAGUUUGGACAA